CUGGAGCCCAGCUGGAAUCCCAGCGGUCCGGAAAAAGGAAAGGAUGAAUCCAAAAGAGGAAAUACUCCCAGGGCUCAUCCCGUCUCCUCAAGGAACUGGUGAAGGAAAUGGAGAAGGCAGCGCGUGGAACUGACCAACAAAGUGAGCAGGAUGCACUGCAGGAAGGCAGCCAUCCCACACUGCCAGUCUCGGGCAGAGGAACGCAGGCAGCGCCAACAACUGUCAUGCCAGGUCAGCAGCCGAACCUGAGCGUGUGAGCACAGGGCACGUGUAAAAGAAGCCAGGGAUGGCUCUCUGAACACGGCUGACCUCAGUGGGGUGUGGAGAGUUGUUCCAGCAGUGUGCCGGAGAAGGGAUGAAUGCCGGGACGAGCACAAAGGCUGCUGUUGGCAGAUCUGCGCGAAGGCGCCACAUCGCAGCGAUGGUACUGUUCUCAGCUGUGCUGCUGUCUGCGCUGGUGCUGGCCUGUGGUGCUGUGAUAUGGAUGUGCCAAAAAUACGUAGUGUGCAAGAGAGAAGAGAGAGCAGCAGAGCAGGCUCAUCCUGAUACCAACUAGGAGAGAGUUCCAACUGGAGACGAGGGCAGAACGGAGCUGGGAGAGGCAGCCGAAGAGACUCUUGCCCCAUCAAAGAAGAAUCUCAGCCAUCGUCCCAGUGCAUUCCAUUCUGCCAUCCAAGAGGCCAAAGGUCUUCAAAGUCAUCUGGAAGACUUGGAGCUUGAACUCAAAGCCGUGAAAGAGGUCCACGGGAACAGUCCUGAGUGCUGCUUUCUGUCAGGGGACGGCCCUGAAAGUGAGAGCGGAGAACCAGCAGCAGAGCUUUUGUCCUUCACCCUGCAUUCUCUGGGACAAGCAUCAGCAACAUUUCAAGAUUCUUAGCUCGGCAUAGCUACAAUCCUGUUGAGGGUCCUAAUGAGGAGCCAGAAAGCGAGCUUCCUCUGACCGCUGGACAACACCUUAACGUCUUGGAGCUGUGGAUGAGAAUGG
ensembl:lncRNA